GCGAGUAUAACUCUCCUAAAACCAUUGUGAACCUGAACCCGAAACCCGUUGCUUCGGCGGCGGCGCACCGCGCCCUCCUGCCCUCGCCGCCCGCCGGAAGUAACGCCCAAACUCAUUGAUACUUUAUUAUUGUCCUCUCUGAGUACUUCUUACUGAAUAAGUCAA
rnacentral:misc_RNA from 1 species